CCUGGAAUUUUUGUGCAUGCCGGUAUAAAAGCGGCUGUUUUGCACGCAGCCACGAUUUGUUAAAGGGGAGGCAGUCCUAAUUCUAAAGCUUGCAUACUCUUCUGUUGCACACUCAAGUAUAAACGUUUCCUUCACAAAAACAGUACAGCAACUGAUUAUGUUUUAAUGCACGCUCCUACAUUCGCGCGCCCAGGAAAGGGCGUGGCUUCCUGUUUUCUGUGAACCAACCAACACAUGACUCUGAGCGACUUUGUUUGUCAAGAAUUAGAAUAUCCAGUAGUGUCUGAGACUAUUUAAAUACAGUGAUUGAUUGGUCCGUUCUGAGAAUAUAUGAUAUAUUCUCAGAAAGGUAUGCAAAUCUUUUAUGCGCUCGCCCACAGAAAAGGUCUUUCGCCAAGAUCGACGCUGCUUAACCGUCCUGAACUGUGUGAACAUGUUUAACGCACGGUAGACAGUAAAACACAGGUUUAAAAAUGCCCAAGAAAUCACAGCUUGAUCAUCGAAAAAGCAAGAACCUGAAGAGCAAACCAAAAUCUAAAGACUCAGGAGAGAUGAACACAGAGAAACUUAUGAGACGAAACAGCAAAGAGGAAUUUGAUGUAAAUUUUUCUCGUGAUCCGGCUGAUGAGUCUCGUUCUGGUCCACAGGAGAAGCUCCAGGAUGAGAAAACAUGAUGUUAACCUCCACUAUGUGACGGGGUUCAGUCUCCAUCCUGGACAACACAGUGUUUACUGUUACACAAACUACUCAAUGGCUGAACUACUGGAUCUGCAUUUGUGUUUCUGUAUCAUUCUCACACACACACACACAUCAGUUCAGAUCAAACGUUAUAAUUUUUCUUAUGCACAUAUAUAAUCGACACGUUUUUCUCUUUCUACUGUACUUUAUUUUAAUGUUUUAUAAUUGUUUUUACAUAUUUUCCUAAUAAACUUUAAAUGAACUUUAAAAUGGAA